rnacentral:rRNA from 1 species
GGCUCAGGACGAACGCUGGCGGCGCGCCUAAUACAUGCAAGUCGAGCGAGAAGACGUAGCAAUACGUUUGUAAAGCGGCGAACGGGUGAGGAAUACAUGGGUAACCUACCCUCGAGUGGGGAAUAACUAGCCGAAAGGUUAGCUAAUACCGCAUACGACUCUCGAUCUUCGGAUCGGGAGGGAAAGCGAUACCGUGGGUAUCGCGCUCUUGGAUGGGCUCAUGUCCUAUCAGCUUGUUGGUGAGGUAAUGGCUCACCAAGGCUUCGACGGGUAGCUGGUCUGAGAGGACGAUCAGCCACACUGGCACUGCGACACGGGCCAGACUCCUACGGGAGGCAGCAGUAAGGAAUAUUGCGCAAUGGGCGAAAGCCUGACGCAGCGACGCCGCGUGGGGGAUGAAGGUCUUCGGAUUGUAAACCCCUUUCGGGAGGGAAGAUGGAAUGGGUAACCAUUCGGACGGUACCUCCAGAAGCAGCCACGGCUAACUUCGUGCCAGCAGCCGCGGUAAUACGAAGGUGGCAAGCGUUAUUCGGAUUUACUGGGCGUACAGGGAGCGUAGGCGGUUUGGUAAGCCCUCUGUGAAAUCUCCAGGCUUAACCUGGAAAAGUCGGAGGGGACUGCUGGGCUAGAGGACGGGAGAGGAGCGCGGAAUUCCCGGUGUAGCGGUGAAAUGCGUAGAGA